CUACGUGCCAGCAGCCGCGGUAAUACGGAAGGUCCGGGUGUUAUCCGGAUUUAUUGGGUUUAAAGGGAGCGUAGGCCGCAGGUUAAGUGUGUUGUGAAAAGCAGUCGCCCAACGUCUGCCUUGCAGCGCAAACUGUCCUGCUUGAGUGCGCACAACGCAGGCGGAAUUCGUCGUGUAGCGGUGAAAUGCUUAGAUAUGACGAAGAACUCCGAUUGCGAAGGCAGCUUGCGGGAGCGCAACUGACGCUGAAGCUCGAAAGUGCGGGUAUCGAACAGGAUUAGAUACCCUGGUAGUCCGCACGGUAAACGCUGGAUGCCCGUUUUUGGCUUAUUUUAAGUCAGAGACCAAGCGAAAGCAUUAAGCAUCCCACCUGGGGAGUACGCCGGCAACGGUGAAACUCAAAGGAAUUGACGGGGGCCCGCACAAGCGGAGGAACAUGUGGUUUAAUUCGAUGAUACGCGAGGAACCUUACCCGGGCUUGAAUUGCC
rnacentral:rRNA from 1 species